UAGAUUGUGCGUGGUCAAAUAAAUGCAGUCAGUUUGAAAAAUACGUUAACUCUAUAAUUUGUAUAAGUCUAUUGUCUGUCAUAAAAAUCCGAGUUGUAUAUAUGGAUUUUAGAAUCCAUUUUUUUGCUCAAUAGUAAAUAUGGGCACCUAUUUUGAUGUUAGAGGUUUCAGAAGAAAACUGUUUGUCCCUUGCCGCUCGUUGUAGUUGGUCCAUGUUUGCCCUUUAAGCUAGCUACUAGCAUCUAGUCAAGUUGUUGCUUUCAGAGCCAGAGGCAUGAGAUUGAGGUGAGUUUACCGAGGCCUACAAACAGUUGGCACUCUGGGGACAAAUACAGAUCUACACCUUCAACUGUAGUUGCAUUAGCUGGGUCAACAAAGCAAUACUAGGUGCUGUGUCUUGCUCCAGAGAAGCC